AGCCAGCAGGGCCACCGCUUAUCUGCACAGCCUCUACGUCUUCCUUCAGAUCCAUGGGCAAGGUUAUAUUUCCUUCCAAUGAAAGAAUAGAAUCUGGUAAGUCCAUUUCCUUCAGCCUGACUCUAGUGAUCUCACUAGCUUGCUGCAAUUUCUCAGCCUGGGUCCGGAUACUAUUAUCUACCAUCUCUGUGUACUUAGAAAGUGCUUUCAUGCUGCCAUCAGGCACAAGUGAUGAAAAAAGCCUUUCCUUGCUGGCAUCUAAAACUUCAGCCAAAGAGGUAGGUUUUACAAGGGACGCUGCAGGGAGGGCACCCAAGGAACCAGCAGCUGGAACCCGCAUCAAGUAAACACGAUCAUUCUCCUUCAUAGCCCUUUCCAAGUUGGUUUUCAUGUUACUUUCCAGCUUGUUGACGGAAUCCAGAAGUUGGGCAGCAACUCCCUUCGUAGUCUUCUUAGCAUCUGCCAAGGCACUCAUACCAAUCUUUAAACGUGCAAUUUCCUCAGCAAUUUCUUCUUUCUCAUGAAGAUCCAGUGAAUACCUGUAGCAAGCAUCGGCGUAGAAUUGAGCAGCUUUAAGCUGGACAUGGGACACCCAUGUCUUAUCAAAGUGCUGACUUAGAGGAGAUGCACUGAGAGCUGUGUAUGCUUCUUCAUAGAGUAUGCCAACCUAAAAAAUGUGAACAUGCAAUGACCAAGAAUUAGGCCCUGUUUGGAAGCAACUAGUUUUUAAAAAUCCAGUUUCUAUCUCUAGUUUCUAGAAACUGGUUUAUGAAAAAAAAACAGUUAAUGGUGUUUGGAACCACCUCGGUUUUUAUAAACUGGCUUUAGCUAGGGGAGGCUAGCCUUUUGGUUUUAAGAAACUAGGAAUCCAGUUUCUAUAAAUUGGGACAUAAGUUAGUAUGUUUGGAACCGCCUCAGUUUUCAAAAACUAGUUUCUUAAAAACUGGAUGCUUCCAAAUAUGCCCUUAGUUAGAUAGCACAUUGACACCAACGUUUUGCACAAGAAAGAACUGCAUCGUGAAUAAGGAUGUGGUGCAUUAAUUGUAGCUAAAAAUGAACAGUGUGACUCAUAUACAAUUAAGUCGCCAUAUAUAACUAAAUCAAAUCAACAGUAGGAAAUAAUCUCACAACUGGAUACACACAUGAACUUGCUUGCUGAGUCCGUCUCCUAAUACAAUUCAAUCAAACAAGUUAGCCACCCCAUAGGCCUAUAGGAUUAUUCUUGAAGGUUUAUCUUGAUGUUAGAUAAAAUGACUUCCCUAGCUUAGGGUUUGGCAUAUAAUUAGUUGUUAGUUAUAAGUCCUCAACACUACAACAUCGUGAAUUCACUUCUGGCUGGUAAACAUAUUGUCAAUGCUUAAACAACUUAAGAAACAUUCAGAGCUUUCAUUCAUUCUAUAGCAAUCUAAACUAAGCUCGCAUGACGCAAAACCUGAACAGGAAGUAAUGGCGCACCUGCCGCGCCACCUUGGAGCACAGCGCGGGUGGCUUCCCUCCACCUAUAACCUUCUCGAAGAAGCAUUCUUGCGCCUGCGCG
rnacentral:lncRNA from 1 species